ensembl:lncRNA
CUGACCCCUCUCGAUGUGGAGGAGCAGCGGCUCUACUCUGAGCUCCUCCCGGGUGACCAAGCUUUUCACCCUAUCUCUAAGGGAUCGCCCAGCCACCCUGCGGAGAAAGCUAAUUUCGGCCGCCUGUAUCCGGGAUCUUGUCCUUUCGGUCAUGACCCAAAGAUCAUGACCAUAGGUGAGAGUAGGAACGUAGAUUGACCGGUAAAUCGAGAGCUUCGCCUUGUCGCUCAGCUCUUUCUUCACCACGACAGACCGAUACAUUGACCGCAUUACUGCAGAAGCUGCACCGAUCCGUCAGUCAAUCUCCCGUUCCAUCCUUCCCUCACUCGUGAACCAAGACCCCUAGAUACUUAAACUCCUCCAAACCUGACACCCUCCAGCCCCUGGCUGCGCCUAGAUAUUCUGAUAUUUCAAAAUCUUAAGUUUAAUGAUGCACUGUAGCACCCACAAAAAACAUUGGAGUAGUGAUUUGGUGGUCAUAGGCCUUUAAACUAAACAACUAUCAUGUUAGUCCCCAAUUACUUUCUACAAGGCUGUUGGUGACAACUUGUCAGUCCACUAAAUGUCACAGAUCACCGUCUACUUAGUAAGCCUUAGCGGUGUAAUUAUUGUGUUUAGCAACAAAAAUAAAAGAACAAGUAUUAGUAAAGAGCUGGAUUCUCGAGCCCCAAAAAACCAGGGAUCAAGUGCGUAAUCUUGGUGUUCUGAUAGACACCAAAACAGCAUUCUAUCAUCUAAAAAAUAUAGCCAGAAUCAAUGGCUUGGUGUCCCAAAAAGACUAAGAGAAGCUCAUCCAUGCUUUUAUCUCUAGUAGGGUUGACUACUGUAAUGGCCUCUCAACUGGACUCACGAAAAAGACUGUAAAACAACUGCAACUAGAAUGUUAACCAGGACCAAGGGAACAUAGCACAUCACUCCGGUUCUUAAAUCUUUGCAUUGGCUUCCAGUCAGUUAUAGAAUAGAAAAGAAAAGUGGUGCUUUUAGUUUAUACAUCUCUGAAUGGUUUAGGACCCAAAUACAUUUCUGAUAUGUUUGAAGAAUAUAAACCGAGCAGGGCUCUUAGAUCCAUGAACACAGGUCAGCUAGUAGAGCCCAGAGUCCAAACUAAACAUGGAGAAGCAGCGUUUAGCACUGGAAUAAACUACCAGAAGAUCUUAGACGUGCCCCAAACGUAUCCAUUUUUAAAUCCAGGUUAAAAACACUUCUCUUUUCACGUGCCUAUAGUGACGUCCUCUGCCAGCGCGGACCCGCACCUUUAUGAGGUAUUGUUUGUCACUCCGCCAUUCAUUACGGAGCCUUCUAUUUUCGCUAUCGCCUAGUGCUUCGUUUGUAUCGAUUCCCCGUGUUUUGACCAUCGCCUGCUCUCCUCCUUGACUCCGUCUCUAGCCCUGUGAUUCUGUAUUGAUUCGUAUCUCGUGAUUCUGACCCUAGCCUGUACUACAGUCCUUUGCCUUGCCCAACCGGGACUUCGUCUCCCUGAAUAACCGCCUGCCAUUGGAACCAGCAUCUCCCUCUCUCCCUUUCCCCACUUAUUACACCUAUGACUGAGCACUUAAACUUAACCACACUGUGUAGAUUUAUGUUUUUAUCCCAUUUUAUUUCUUUAUAUGGUUUCUUAUUGUAUUUUUUAUUAUUAUUAUUGUCUAACCAUUAGAAGACCAGGUGUUGGGCAAAGCUGAAAAUUUGACUCUUCAGAGAAGAUGACCUUACUCCAUUCCUUUAUGGUCCAAUCCUUAUGGUCUUUUGCAAACUUCAGCCUGGCUUCUUUGCUUCUCAUUGAUGAAGGGCUUUUUUCUAGCUUUGCACAACUUCAGCCCUGCCCCUAGGAGCCUGUUUCAAACCGUCCUCGCCAUGCACUUCAUCCCAGCUGCUGUUUGCCAUUCUUUUUGUAGGUCACUUGAUGUCAUCCUACAGUUGUUGAGUGAGAUUUGAAUGAGUUGAUGGUCAUCUCGGUCAGUAGACAGUCGUUUUCGCCCUCUGCCAGUCUGUAGCUUUGUUUUCCCAAAUGUCUGUUGGUUGACUUGUUCUUAUGAACGUCCGUCUUUGAAAUUUUCAGAAUGGAAGCGACAUUGUGGCUACAGUACCUAACUAGCUACAUUUUGUGUAUUCACUUGCUUAAUACUGGUGACAAACUUUAGCUGUUAUCAACCCAUUGCUGGCUAAAUAAUCCAUUGUGUCGCCAGGCAUUUGUUUAUACAAUUCGAUUUUCGCCUUACAAGCUCAUCUGGAAUAGUUGUAAAAGGCAUGUUGAGACAUACCAUGGCCUCUAAGAACUCCGCCCACCCUAAAGGACUUCUAGCAUCAGCAAUUUUGUUGGUUGCUUGUCACACCUUUAACCAGAUCCAACAGGUGCGAACCCAUGAUUAUCUCUCCUUUGAAAAUAAUUCACAGUUUAAAGUCCAUGAAGUCAAAUCUUUAGACCUGAGCAUUCUAUUUAAAAUAUGUUCAACAUUCUUUUUACUCCUCAUAGAUACAUUUUCCAAAAUGUCAUCUUAGAAGGUUAACAUUUUGAUCAGCAGUUUGAUUAGUCUCACCCGUAUUUACUACAUCAGCCCCAGUCUCAAACCCGGGUAGACUUGAAGUCAGUGUAUUUGUGUCAAGCUCACCCUGUCUCAAAACAGUCAAAAAUCUUUGUAAAAUGCAGAGGAUCUUUUAGCUUUUUCAUGUAAAUCCACAUCAGUCUUCAUCAGUAUAUUGCGUAUCGAUGAGUCCAAAUCAUUUACAACAGAUUUUUUUACAUCGGUGCUAGUUGUUUUGUAUUCUCAAUCAAAUUUCAAAUGUAUUUAUAAAGCCCUUUUUACAACAGCAGUUGUCACAAAGUGCUCUUACAAAACACCCGGCCUUAAACCCUAUGGAGCAAACAACAGUAGUGUUGAAUUUUAGUGGCUAGGAAAAACUCCCUAAGAAGGCCUACAUUUAGGAAGAAACAUAGAGAGGAACCAGGCUAAGAGGUGUGACCAGUCCUCUUCUGGCUGUGCCAGGUGAACAUAUUAAGAAGCAUCAGGUCAGGGACAACACAGCAGAGUGGCAGCUGAAAUCGUCAGAUAUCGUCUUGAUCUGCAACACAACCAGGACUACUUUGGGCAGGGACAGCAAGCCUAGAAGUCUUUCAAGCCUGGUACUCCGCAGUUGUGGGCCAAGACCUCAUGUCCUGCUAUGUUUAGGAGACAGGGAACAUUUUGAAGAUGCAUUCCUUAUAUCUACAAGGAUUUAUAAUGGAGAAGGAGAACUGACCCUCCUCCCCCAGCACAAUAAUAUUGCAGUGUAAGACCUUGGGGCUGAGACAGGGGGGUCCAGUGAAACUGUGGCCCUAUCUGGGGGAAGCCCCAAACAGGGCCCAACAGGCAGGAAAUCAAUCCACCCACAUUGCCAAGCAUCAACCAAAGGGACACCCACCAACUGCAACCACCCUGAAUGAGAGCUGAGUAUUGCCAGCAGACUACAGCCCAAUUGCACUGAGUUUGCAUUUCUAACCUUAAUUGGCAAAUCGUUCCACAGUAGUUUACCAAUUCUAGGUAUAAUUAGAAGGUCUGCAUCUUGUAAUCUUAAGUUACGUGUAGGUAUGUAUGGCUGGAUCAUUUCAGCAAGGAAUGUAGGAGAAAGUCCAUGUAUUGAUUUAUAGGUUAACAAUAGAACCUUAAAAUCAGCCCUAGCCUUAACAGGCAGCCAGUGUAAAGAGGUUAGUACUGGAGUAAUGCGUUCAUAUUUUUUUGUUCUAGUUAGGAUUCUAGCAGCCGUGUGCAGCACUUAUUGAAGUUGAGGCAAUAAAAGCAUGGAUUAGUUUUGAAGAUGAAAAUAAACAACUCUAUAUAUUUUACAUGUUCAUCAAAGAAGAGGUCAGCGUCAAGGGUAACGCAGAGGUUUCUUACAGUUUUUUUUGAUGCGACCAAUGCAGCCGUCGAGGUUCACAGUGAGAUCUGCCAACAAUCUCACUGUGGACCUUGGGUCCUAAAAUGAGCAUUUCUGUUUUUCUUGAGUUUAAAAGCAUGAAAUUCUGUCAUCCACUUCCUAAUAUCUGAAACGCAUGCUUCCAAAGUAGCUAAUUUUGCUUCUCCAUGCUAAAUAACUGUGUUUUCACAGCCUAUACCUCUGGGAUCACCCGAUCAACUUACCUCCUGUUUAUUCAUCAGACCUCACUUUUAAUCGGGUGACGGCGCCAAUCGUCUUUGGUUAUUUCACACUUGCCCUAGGAUCUUUUUAGUUCGAUUUUACAUCUUUGGAGGGAUUACACCAAACUCAGUUUACCAGGCACCGGAAUGUAGCGUAAGGCGAAACUUGACUUACUGCAAGGUCAGUUAACUUCCACCCUGGCAUAUGAUAUGCGUCCUGAGUCUGGAACGCUCCUAAAGAUCAAUCCUCCGAUGGAGGAACUUUUUAUGUUUCAACCUGGCCGUUCCUAAGGCUCAACAAUAUUUAUAGUUGUGCUUAUUUAGAACCGGUUCACUCACCGAGCCUGAGGUACUGAGAGAGAGGCAGCAUAUAUAGUGAGAACAAUAAUGGGCCCAGAACCGAGCCUUGAAGAACACUAAAAUAUACCUUUAAUUUGUCAGGGGAUAUGCCAUCAACACAAACGAACAGAAAUCUUUCAGAUAAAUAAGAUUAAAACUAGGCUAGAACAUGUCCACAUAGCCCAAUAUGGGUUUCCAGUCUCUCUAAGAGAAGGGAGUGAUCAAUAGUGUCAAAGGCAGCACUAAGAUCAAGAAGCAACAGGACGAAGCAUCAACAACCUAUAAUUUUUUAAUAUUUCUGGAUCCAGAUUAGAUUAUUUUAGAAGAGGCUUAAUUUCCACAAUUUGUGAGUUUGGUAUACAUACGGAGGAAAGUGAGUGGCUGUCCGCCACCAGAAAACCUUCGCUGACCGCCACCGCAGGGAGGCCCUGAUGUAUCGUCCGGGCGACCGGGUAUGGCUCUCGACCAAGGACCUGCCCAUCCGCCUGCCCUGCUGGAACCUGGGCCCGCGGCCAGUGGUGUCUGGUCCCCUUCAGGGGUGUGAGGUACGGGAGGUCCCCUCCCACUCUGGAAAUUGAGGGGGCCCCGGCGUACUCCAUCCUCUCCAUCAUCAACUCAAGGCGCCGGGCGGGGGGCCUCCAGUACCUCGUAGAGUGGGAGGGGUAUGGCCCGGAGGAAUGGAGCUGGGUCCCUGUGAAGGAGGUCCUGGCUUCCGCCCUCCUGCACGACUUCCGUCGCCCGGAUCACCCUGUUCCGCGUCCCCCGGGGCCGGUGUUGUCAGAGGGGGGGGUACUGUGAUGACGGCGCCCUCUGCUGCCUCUCCUCCCCCUGCAGCAGGCAGGCUCCAGCGGUCGACGUCACCGGGCUUCUAACACCACCGCCCAUCUCCUUCAUUCCUCAUUUUAAUCAUUCCCCCCAGUAUAUAUGUUCCCUCUGCUUCCUCUGUCUUUGUGUGUUAUUGUCUUGCCUGCUAAGAGCAUUGUUGGGCUACGCCAUUUUUUACCUAUUAAAUAACUGUCAAUAAUACAACUUCGUCUUCCUGCUCCUCUUUUCCACUUGAGCCUGACAUAAUAUCUAAAACAUUACAGCAGCACAAGUGAUUAAAG